rnacentral:rRNA from 1 species
ACGGGAAGAGCCCAAACCAACAAGCUUGCUUGUUGGGGUUGUAGGACACUCUAUACGGAGUUACAAAGGACGACAUUAGACGAAUCAUCUGGAAAGAUGAAUCAAAGAAGGUAAUAAUCCUGUAGUCGAAAAUGUUGUCUCUCUUGAGUGGAUCCUGAGUACGACGGAGCACGUGAAAUUCCGUCGGAAUCUGGGAGGACCAUCUCCUAAGGCUAAAUACUCUCUAGUGACCGAUAGUGAACCAGUACCGUGAGGGAAAGGUGAAAAGCACCCCGGAAGGGGAGUGAAAUAGAACCUGAAACCGUGUGCUUACAAGUAGUCAGAGCCCGUUAAUGGGUGAUGGCGUGCCUUUUGUAGAAUGAACCGGCGAGUUACGAUUUGAUGCAAGGUUAAGCAGUAAAUGUGGAGCCGUAGCGAAAGCGAGUCUGAAUAGGGCGUUUAGUAUUUGGUCGUAGACCCGAAACCAGGUGAUCUACCCUUGGUCAGGUUGAAGUUCAGGUAACACUGAAUGGAGGACCGAACCGACUUACGUUGAAAAGUGAGCGGAUGAACUGAGGGUAGCGGAGAAAUUCCAAUCGAACCUGGAGAUAGCUGGUUCUCUCCGAAAUAGCUUUAGGGCUAGCCUCAAGUGAUGAUUAUUGGAGGUAGAGCACUGUUUGGACGAGGGGCCCCUCUCGGGUUACCGAAUUCAGACAAACUCCGAAUGCCAAUUAAUUUAACUUGGGAGUCAGAACAUGGGUGAUAAGGUCCGUGUUCGAAAGGGAAACAGCCCAGACCACCAGCUAAGGUCCCAAAAUAUAUGUUAAGUGGAAAAGGAUGUGGCGUUGCCCAGACAACUAGGAUGUUGGCUUAGAAGCAGCCAUCAUUUAAAGAGUGCGUAAUAGCUCACUAGUCGAGUGACACUGCGUCGAAAAUGUACCGGGGCUAAACAUAUUACCGAAGCUGUGGAUUGUCCUUUGGACAAUGGUAGGAGAGCGUUCUAAGGGCGUUGAAGCAUGAUCGUAAGGACAUGUGGAGCGCUUAGAAGUGAGAAUGCCGGUGUGAGUAGCGAAAGACGGGUGAGAAUCCCGUCCACCGAUUGACUAAGGUUUCCAGAGGAAGGCUCGUCCGCUCUGGGUUAGUCGGGUCCUAAGCUGAGGCCGACAGGCGUAGGCGAUGGAUAACAGGUUGAUAUUCCUGUACCACCUAUAAUCGUUUUAAUCGAUGGGGGGGACGCAGUAGGAUAGGCGAAGCGUGCGAUUGGAUUGCACGUCUAAGCAGUAAGGCUGAGUAUUAGGCAAAUCCGGUACUCGUUAAGGCUGAGCUGUGAUGGGGAGAAGACAUUGUGUCUUCGAGUCGUUGAUUUCACACUGCCGAGAAAAGCCUCUAGAUAGAAAAUAGGUGCCCGUACCGCAAACCGACACAGGUAGUCAAGAUGAGAAUUCUAAGGUGAGCGAGCGAACUCUCGUUAAGGAACUCGGCAAAAUGACCCCGUAACUUCGGGAGAAGGGGUGCUCUUUAGGGUUAACGCCCAGAAGAGCCGCAGUGAAUAGGCCCAAGCGACUGUUUAUCAAAAACACAGGUCUCUGCUAAACCGUAAGGUGAUGUAUAGGGGCUGACGCCUGCCCGGUGCUGGAAGGUUAAGAGGAGUGGUUAGCUUCUGCGAAGCUACGAAUCGAAGCCCCAGUAAACGGCGGCCGUAACUAUAACGGUCCUAAGGUAGCGAAAUUCCUUGUCGGGUAAGUUCCGACCCGCACGAAAGGCGUAACGAUUUGGGCACUGUCUCAACGAGAGACUCGGUGAAAUCAUAGUACCUGUGAAGAUGCAGGUUACCCGCGACAGGACGGAAAGACCCCGUGGAGCUUUACUGUAGCCUGAUAUUGAAAUUCGGCACAGCUUGUACAGGAUAGGUAGGAGCCUUUGAAACGUGAGCGCUAGCUUACGUGGAGGCGCUGGUGGGAUACUACCCUAGCUGUGUUGGCUUUCUAACCCGCACCACUUAUCGUGGUGGGAGACAGUGUCAGGCGGGCAGUUUGACUGGGGCGGUCGCCUCCUAAAAGGUAACGGAGGCGCUCAAAGGUUCCCUCAGAAUGGUUGGAAAUCAUUCAUAGAGUGUAAAGGCAUAAGGGAGCUUGA